AUCCAGCUGACGAAUCCCAAAUAAGACGAGACGAGACAAGCACGUCCUGGAU
rnacentral:hammerhead_ribozyme from 1 species